AUUGAACGCUGGCGGAAUGCUUUACACAUGCAAGUCGAACGGCAGCACGGGGGCAACCCUGGUGGCGAGUGGCGAACGGGUGAGUAAUACAUCGGAACGUGCCCAGUCGUGGGGGAUAACGUAGCGAAAGUUACGCUAAUACCGCAUACGAUCUACGGAUGAAAGCGGGGGACCGUAAGGCCUCGCGCGAGUGGAGCGGCCGAUGUCAGAUUAGGUAGUUGGUGAGGUAACGGCUCACCAAGCCGACGAUCUGUAGCUGGUCGGAGAGGACGACCAGCCACACUGGGACUGAGACACGGCCCAGACUCCUGCGGGAGGCAGCAGUGGGGAAUUUUGGACAAUGGGCGCAAGCCUGAUCCAGCCAUUCCGCGUGCAGGACGAAGGCCUUCGGGUUGUAAACUGCUUUUGUACGGAACGAAAAGGCUCUGGUUAAUACCUGGGGCUCAUGACGGUACCGUAAGAAUAAGCACCGGCUAACUACGUGCCAGCCGCCGCCGUAA
rnacentral:rRNA from 1 species